rnacentral:rRNA from 1 species
GACGAACGCUGGCGGCGUGCUUAACACAUGCAAGUCGAACGGAAAGGCCCUGCUUUUGUGGGGUGCUCGAGUGGCGAACGGGUGAGUAACACGUGAGUAACCUGCCCUUGACUUUGGGAUAACUUCAGGAAACUGGGGCUAAUACCGGAUAGGAGCUCCUGCUGCAUGGUGGGGGUUGGAAAGUUUCGGCGGUUGGGGAUGGACUCGCGGCUUAUCAGCUUGUUGGUGGGGUAGUGGCUGACCAAGGCUUUGACGGGUAGCCGGCCUGAGAGGGUGACCGGGCACAUUGCGACUGAGAUACGGCGCAGACUCCUACGGGAGGCAGCAGUGGGGAAUAUUGCACAAUGGGCGGAAGCCUGAUGCAGCAACGCCGCGUGCGGGAUGACGGCCUUCGGGUUGUAAACCGCUUUCGCCUGUGACGAAGCGUGAGUGACGGUAAUGGGUAAAGAAGCACCGGCUAACUACGUG